CAGGAUUCAGGAACAUCCCUCAGGAAGAGAGAGCUACCUGCUGCUUUGUCUGUGUAUUGUGCCCAGAGAGAGAAAUAUGUAAUCAGACAGAAAAGAAAAGUGUCUGUGGGGCUCAAGUUUGAGUUGAAACCAGGCUCAGGGUCCACCUGUCCUCGCUGAUCCGUGGAUUUCUGUGUGACCAGCUGACACCUAUGGAGCUGUGGCCCUGACUACUACCAGCUUGCUCAUCCCUCUACUCACACAGUCACCCCUCCCCUCACUCAUUUAUGCUUCACCUGUGAAUGGUGGUCCUGGGACAGCCACUGCUGGAGCCCGGGUGAGCCUGGGGGCUCCUCCCACUCUGUCCCUCCCUGAGACAGCCCUCGCCACAGCUCCCGAGCCGGCCACCACGUCCCUGCAUACUUCAUCAUCACCUGUGCCACCAGAAGCCACCACAGCUUUGGGGCACAACCUGAAGACCCUCACAGUCACCUUCCCCAUCUCCACCCUCCAGUAUUCAUCAGACAGGAGCAACGGCUCAGCCACGUUCCACUCCACUGAGAGGGUCCUGCAGAGCCUGGGGAGACCCUGGUCCCAGCAGCUCCUGGUGGGUUAAAUCCCACCCAGCC